UUACGGCCACAUCACGUUGAAACACCUGUUCCCGUAAUAUCACCGAAGUUAAGCAACAUCGAGCCCAGUCAGUAUCUAGAUGGGUGAUUGCUUCGGAAUACCAAGUACUGUAAG